rnacentral:rRNA from 1 species
GCGAACGCUGGCGGCAGGCCUAACCCAUGCCAGUCGAACGAACCUUUCGGGGUUAGUGGCGGACGGGUGAGUAACACGUGGGAACGUGCCUUUAGGUUCGGCAUAACUCAGGGAAACUUGUGCUAAUACCGAAUGUGCCCUUCGGGGGAAAGAUUUAUCGCCUUUAGAGCGGCCCGCGUCUGAUUAGCUAGUUGGUUGAGGUAAUGGCUCACCAAGGCGACGAUCAGUAGCUGGUCUGAGAGGAUGAUCAGCCACAUUGGGACUGAGACACGGCCCAAACUCCUACGGGAGGCAGCAGUGGGGAAUCUUGCGCAAUGGGCGAAAGCCUGACGCAGCCAUGCCGCGUGAAUGAUGAAGGUCUUAGGAUUGUAAAAUUCUUUCACCGGGGACGAUAAUGACGGUUCCCGGAGAAGAAGCCCCGGCUAACUUCGUG